rnacentral:rRNA from 1 species
AGAGUUUGAUCCUGGCUCAGGAUGAACGCUAGCGGCAGGCUUAACACAUGCAAGUCGAGGGGCAGCGGGGAGGAAGCUUGCUUUCUCCGCCGGCGACCGGCGCACGGGUGAGUAACACGUAUGCAACCUGCCCCUGUCAGGGGGACAACCCGCCGAAAGGCGGGCUAAACCCGCGUACAUGCCACCGGGGCAUCCCGGAGGCAGGAAAGGCUUCGGCCGGACAGGGAUGGGCAUGCGGCGCAUUAGGCAGUAGGCGGGGUAACGGCCCACCUAACCGACGAUGCGUAGGGGUUCUGAGAGGAAGGUCCCCCACACUGGUACUGAGACACGGACCAGACUCCUACGGGAGGCAGCAGUGAGGAAUAUUGGUCAAUGGUCGGGAGACUGAACCAGCCAAGCCGCGUGAGGGAGGAAGGUACAGAGUAUCGUAAACCUCUUUUGUCAGGGAACAAAGGCGGGGACGUGUCCCCGGAUGAGUGUACCUGAAGAAAAAGCAUCGGCUAACUCCGUGCCAGCAGCCGCGGUAAUACGGAGGAUGCGAGCGUUAUCCGGAUUUAUUGGGUUUAAAGGGUGCGCAGGCGGUCUGUUAAGUCAGCGGUCAAAGCCCGGGGCUCAACCCCGGCCCGCCGUUGAAACUGGCAGUCUCGAGUUGGAGAGAAGUAUGCGGAAUGCGCGGUGUAGCGGUGAAAUGCAUAGAUAUCGCGCAGAACUCCGAUUGCGAAGGCAGCAUGCCGGCUCCACACUGACGCUGAGGCACGAAAGCGUGGGUAUCGAACAGGAUUAGAUACCCUGGUAGUCCACGCAGUAAACGAUGAAUGCUGGCUGUCCGGGGGGAUUGACCCCUGGGUGGCGAAGCGAAAGCGAUAAGCAUUCCACCUGGGGAGUACGCCGGCAACGGUGAAACUCAAAGGAAUUGACGGGGGCCCGCACAAACGGAGGAACAUGUGGUUUAAUUCGAUGAUACGCGAGGAACCUUACCCGGGCUCAAACGGGGAGUGACUCAGGCAGAGACGCCUGUUUCCCACGGGACACUCCCCGAGGUGCUGCAUGGUUGUCGUCAGCUCGUGCCGUGAGGUGUCGGCUUAAGUGCCAUAACGAGCGCAACCCCCGCGUGCAGUUGCUAACAGAUAACGCUGAGGACUCUACACGGACUGCCGGCGCAAGCCGCGAGGAAGGCGGGGAUGACGUCAAAUCAGCACGGCCCUUACGUCCGGGGCGACACACGUGUUACAAUGGGUGGUACAGCGGGAAGCCAGGCGGCGACGCCGAGCGGAACCCGAAAUCCACUCUCAGUUCGGAUCGGAGUCUGCAACCCGACUCCGUGAAGCUGGAUUCGCUAGUAAUCGCGCAUCAGCCAUGGCGCGGUGAAUACGAUGCCGGGCCUUGCACACACCGCCCGUCA